rnacentral:rRNA from 1 species
GACAGAGGAGGCGAGCGGUGUUCGGAUUCACUGGGCUUAAAGCGCGUGUAGGCGGCCCGGCAAGUGUCGUGUGAAAUCCCACGGCUCAACCGUGGAACGGCACGGCAAACUGCCGGGCUUGAGGUCGGUAGGGGUGCCUGGAACUCCAGGUGGAGCGGUGAAAUGCGUAGAUAUCUGGAGGAACGCCGGAGGCGAAAGCGGGGCACUGGGCCGAUGCUGACGCUGAGACGCGAAAGCGUGGGGAGCAAACAGG